CGACGGUAAGGCCCUUCGGGGUACCGAGUGGCGAACGGGUGAGUAACACGUGGGUGAUCUGCCCUGCACUUCGGGAUAAGCCCGGGAAACUGGGUCUAAUACCGGAUAGGACUGCGCGGUGCAUGCCGUGUGGUGGAAAGAUUUAUCGGUGCAGGAUGGGCCCGCGGCCUAUCAGCUUGUUGGUGGGGUAAUGGCCUACCAAGGCGACGACGGGUAGCCGGCCUGAGAGGGCGACCGGCCACACUGGGACUGAGACACGGCCCAGACUCCUACGGGAGGCAGCAGUGGGGAAUAUUGCACAAUGGGCGCAAGCCUGAUGCAGCGACGCCGCGUGAGGGAUGACGGCCUUCGGGUUGUAAACCUCUUUCAGCAGGGACGAAGCGCAAGUGACGGUACCUGCAGAAGAAGCACCGGCCAACUACGUGCCAGCAGCCGCGGUAAUACGUAGGGUGCAAGCGUUGUCCGGAAUUACUGGGCGUAAAGAGCUCGUAGGCGGUUUGUCGCGUCGUCUGUGAAAACCAGCAGCUCAACUGUUGGCUUGCAGGCGAUACGGGCAGACUUGAGUAUUUCAGGGGAGACUGGAAUUCCUGGUGUAGCGGUGAAAUGCGCAGAUAUCAGGAGGAACACCGGUGGCGAAGGCGGGUCUCUGGGAAAUAACUGACGCUGAGGAGCGAAAGCGUGGGUAGCGAACAGGAUUAGAUACCCUGGUAGUCCACGCCGUAAACGGUGGGCGCUAGGUGUGGGUUUCCUUCCACGGGAUCCGUGCCGUAGCUAACGC
rnacentral:rRNA from 1 species